GGGAUUCGAUCUGAGCCGCACAAAAUGAACGGACGGCUGGAGAUGUCCACAGGUCUGGAAUUGGGGAGCGGUUCCGGUAGGGCCGGUGGCCUCCCCGUCGGCGAUCGCCGCUCGCGUCGCCGCCGACGACACCAGGAGCUCCGCCUGCCCGCCGCGCGCAGGAGGAGGCGAGGUUGGAAGGCGGUCACUCUGGCGUGGUACGUACUGAGCUCGUCUGGUCUUUCUCGUGCCUCCGGCUCCGCUUCGUUCGUCAACUAGGGUUUCCAUGUUCAUCGCUUCGACGCUUCCUGUAACUUCAGUGUGGGCUUCUCUUUGUUAGACGUUUCACUGCAAUGGAGUACAGAGAGGUCAGGAGGAGCAUUUGAUGAAUCAAGUAAAGGUGUACAGAAAAAUAAGCCUACUGGUUCGGAACUUUUCAUCUCUAUUUCCAUUAAGAGGUCAGGAGGAGGCUGGGUGGUGAGGUUGUACAAUUUUCUUUAUCUUUUUUUUUCCCAUUUCAAUCGCACGCUAAUAAUUAUUUGGGUUUAAAUCAUAUAUUCCAGUCACUAUCAACUAAUUAGAAUUAAAAACAAUUCUAGUGCUACAUUUCUAAUCUGGGCAUGUUUUGAUGGUAUAGAACCGAAAUGUCCGUCGUCUUUAAUCAAUGCCGUUUAGAUCAUUGGGAACAAUUGAGCUGGUGAAGCAGGGAAUUAACCAUUAUGGGGGUUAGAAUUGCUAUAGUACCUAGACUAUGUGAAAAUCGCUGAUAGAGCAAUCUUUCAUUUGUUUUAGCUAAGAAUAUGAGAUUGACAAUGCAAAAGCUAAAUAAGUUUACUGGGGUAAACAUGGCCAGUAUUGUGAUUUAAAGAAUUAUCAGUAGGAAACAUGGUGAUAGUAACAUGUAUGCUAGUUACUACUAUUCAUUUACACUUGAAGUUGGUUUUCCUUCAUAACUUUUUGCAAGGUUUGAUUGGUUUUAAUUUAUGUGCUUGCCCACCCAAAUUCAAGGUAAACCAUCAGUUUCAAUGAUUAUAUGGGCACCAGUCCUUGCCACAGUCCAAAUCUCCUUGCUUACCUCGGUCCAUGCUUAGUCAUCUUGUCUGUUCAUCUCAUCAUGUUUUCCUGAUGACCAUGUGACAUGUCACACAAAUGUACAGAAUUCAAUAGAAGUCAGUUUUUGAGUACUCAUAUCCGUGGUCUGUCAGUGAAUUGUGAAAAGACAAAGUGUGGGAAUUUGGAUGCGAAGCAACCAUGUUUAUUGUGCGAUCAGCGUUCGGCAGGUCAGUCUGAUAAUGCAGCGUAUCUGUACCACCGCUGUGUGCAUGUGGAUGGCCGCUCUGAGGCGUGACAUGUCGUAGUCACCUAUGCAGGAAUGCAUGGUAUGAUUGUAUAACUUGUUACUCAACUUCCGAAGUCCUAACGGCAUUUCAAAUGAGCUUCCAAAUUGUUGAAUUUGCUCUUCAAGGAAAAUCCACUAGAAAAAAAAUGUUGCUGACAAUACCCAAUGACAGGUGGAUCCUGCUGCAGUUUACAUCGGCAUGUAGCAAUUUGGUUCGAUGAUACUGCUCUGAUGUCCUUGACGAGGAGGGAAAUAAGGGUAUAUAAAAUAAACCCGUAUCGACCUUUGUCUGUCUGCUGUUUGUGGUGUCCUACAUUGCAGGAGCUAAUCUGAUUUGAAUUUUUAUGUUUUUAGAACAAGUUAAGAAAGCAAGCAGUUGUGCCAAACAAGGGAGUACAAAGCAGUUGGGUCAUAAAAAUUCAGGACAGGAUCUGUUCCUCUGUGCGUGCACUCUGAAACAUAUGCCAUCAUAGUGUUCAUAACCACUGGCCCAUUCAAGGGAUGAGCUUAUUUAAGAGAGCCACAGAAGAACUUCUGAAAUGACCAGGGAAAAGAUGCAAAAGCCGUGAUAUUGUGGUAGUAGUACACAAAGACAUUCCUUCGUCAUUGAUCUCCAACGGGAGCAGUGUCUGAUUACACAGUAACCGACCUACUCAAGCAAUCAUGCGUGUUCGUUGCUUAAAGGAUGGCUUUUCUUUGCUUUGCAAGUCUUGAUCCCUUCCUGUUCCUCCAAUGGCAAGCAAAAGCUAUGGCUUACCCAGCACUUUUGAGUUAGGACUAUGGCUAUUAUGUGAAGAGCCAUCAGUUUACUUGUACGGAAAAUAAAAGCGAAGCUGGCAUAGUGAUGUAAUAAUGGUAUGUAUGUCACUAACAAUCUCCAGUGUGGCGUCUUCAGUAACAUAGUGUUGUUCAGUUAGUUUGCACUCUUGUUUUCAUGUGUUUUACUAGCAUAGAUGGUCAGGGUUGUUCUACCAUUUCCUUGUCACUGGACAACUGAGUAGAUCACAAUUAUAGCUACCAAUAAAUGAGGUCGCUGCUGGUUUGCUGGGGUAGCACUUCACAAAGAGAGACUAUUCAAUUUUGGAUAUCAUUUUCUGUCAGUGGCCACCUGCUAAUUUGUUCGGCGUUUCAUGCUGGAUAAAAGAAGUGCACAUCAAGAAGAGGAGUAACUAUAACCAUGUGAUGGACCGAAUGAACUUAUGAUACAUCAUGUGUUUUACUAUCUCUCUAGGUCAGAAAUACUAGGACAACCCAGAUGAGGAACAGUACUUCUUGUUGCUGUAGCUUGGACUUAAAAGGCCAGUCAUGUGCUGAACUGCAGAUACUUGAUGUGCUCUCUUACCUUCAGGAUUAAACAAGUGACUGCUUCCUUCAUUGCAGUUGGGUUUUAUUUCCAGUUUAAUGAGCCUAUGAUUCUGUGAGUCGUCUUCUCUGCAUAGUAUUAUAAACAGAAGAAUAGAAGCUAGCAUCUGCUGCUUGCUGGAAGUAAAAUAUUGCUAACACAGGUUCCUGCAUCAAGACAACAGUGGUGGAGGUGGGGGACCUUUGGAGCAGGAGUUUAGGACCGACGCAUGGCCCCUCCUUGUGCAUGCAUCAUUGUACAUAUAUACUUUCACCGUACCGUCCGCAAUUGUGGUCCAAGCACUGUUACAACUGAGUAUGUGUACCUUUGAGAAGGUGAUUCAAACUUCAGUCAUGGCACCUUGAGUUUGCUACUCAUUUGGGUUGCCUGGCUUUUAAGGCCUUGAGAAGUUUGAGCUUUUCAAGUAACUUGUGCAGGUGUGCUUUAUACAUGGAUUCCCCUUUAUUUGGGUAGAUUCAGUUGGACGACAAAGUGAGCACAAACUAUACCUGAAAGCUGAAAGAGAAAAAGAGGAUCAGGGAUUGGAAGGAUGGAUUCAAGCUUUAGACAGAACAUGUUGUAAUGUCGCCUGAAAAGCUUGCGCACGGUUUGAGUGGUAGCUGCUUUGCUUAGUUACAAACUCUAGGUUUGAUCUUUCUAAAAAUCGUAAAUUAGGAAUGUGUAAUCUUGCGGAACUGCUAUUGACAGAGUGUACAAAUGGUGAAAUGGGUCAAAGUUGCCGGUCUUAAAAUCGGAAUGGUUUCUUUCAGCUCAUUCCAAUGCAGAAACCAAGUUCAGUCAA